AUUGAACGCUGGCGGCAGGCCUAACACAUGCAAGUCGAGCGAGCGGCGGACGGGGGAGUAAUGUCGGGGAAACUGCCUGAUGGAGGGGGGUAAAUACUGGAAACGGUAGCUAAUACCGCAUACCAUCAGAGGUGCCCAGAUGGGAUUAGCGAGUAGGUGGGGGAACGGCGCACAUAGGCGACGAUCCCUAGCUGGUCUGAGAGGAUGACCAGCCACACUGGAACGUAGACACGGUCCGGACGCCUACGGGAGGCAGCAGUGGGGAAUAUUGCACAAUUGGGGCAAGCCUGAUGCAGCCAUGCCGCGUGUAUGAAGAAGGCCUUCGGGUUGUAAAGUACUUUCAGCGGGGAGGCGUUACCCGCAGAAGAAGCACCGGCUAACUCCGUGCCAGCAGCCGCGGUAAUUC
rnacentral:rRNA from 1 species